CCAUGCACACGGGUUUGAUCACACUUGCCCUGCCUCUCCUUCUAUAAAUAAAAGCAUCAUUCCAUUCAAUUUCCAUCCAUGAAUCAACCUGAAAUGCUACUGAACUGAAAACUAAACCUCUCACCAAAGGAACAAUUUCAUUAUCAUUCAAAUUUCUCAGAUCUGAAAUUCAACUAAAUCUGGUCGAAUUUCUAGAUCUAAAGUUCCUAGACCUCUCUCUCAUAAUCC
rnacentral:lncRNA from 1 species